UGAGGAAUAUUGGUCAAUGGGCGAGAGCCUGAACCAGCCAAGUCGCGUGAAGGAAGACUGCCUUAUGGGUUGUAAACUUCUUUUAUACAGGAAUAAAAAGGCUUACGUGUAGGCCAUUGCAAGUACUGUAUGAAUAAGCAUCGGCUAACUCCGUGCCAGCAGCCGCGGUAAUACGGAGGAUGCGAGCGUUAUCCGGAUUUAUUGGGUUUAAAGGGUGCGCAGGCGGGCUUUUAAGUCAGCGGUGAAAUCUGGACGCUUAACGUCCAAACUGCCGUUGAAACUGGGAGUCUUGAGUAUGGAUGAAGUAGGCGGAAUUCGUUGUGUAGCGGUGACAUGCAUAGAUAUAACGAGGAACUCCGAUUGCGUAGGCAGCUUACUAAGCCAUAACUGACGCUCAUGCACGAAAGCGUGGGGGAUCAAACAGGAUUAGAUACCCUGGUAGUCCACGCCGUAAAACGAUGAUUACUAGUUGUAUGCGAUAUGAUAGUAUGUGACUAAGCGAAAGCGAUAAGUAAUCCACCUGGGGAGUACGCCGGCAACGGUGAAACUCAAAGGAAUUGACGGGGUCAUAGCUGUUUCCUG
rnacentral:rRNA from 1 species